CGACGAAGUCAGACACUGGCUUAAUACAGAACAUCGCCCCGCUUACAGCGUCUCCUGCCACUGCGUCGGCCUUAGGCUGGAAAAUGCAGUAUCCCCGGUGCCCCCGACAUUUCUUCACUACCAAAGCCAAGGACACAGGAAGCCACAGACUAAGGAGUUCACAAGAAACUGAUCUUUACUCAACAAAGUUCUACACAAGUGGAAUCUCACGCCACCUCGGCGCCAAUCCCCAGCACAGCACAGUAACAAAUGGACAGACCCGGGAGCCCGCAGGGGGAAGAGGGUGAGGAGGGAAAGAGGGACUGUGGCUCAAGGCCAGUCUGGGUCCACAGCCCUGGGUAGGGGAGAAGGUUGAGAAGCUGAAACUUCAUUGUGCAAAAAAUAACCAAAAAUAAAUUAAAAAAUUAAAUAGUUUUUUUUUUAAAAAAAAAAAAAA